rnacentral:rRNA from 1 species
UACGUAGGGUGCGAGCGUUAAUCGGAAUUACUGGGCGUAAAGCGUGCGCAGGCGGUGGCUCAAGCCAGGCGUGAAAUCCCCGGGCUUAACCUGGGAAUGGCGUUUGGGACUGGGUCGCUAGAGUGUGGCAGAGGGAGGUGGAAUUCCCAGUGUAGCGGUGAAAUGCGUAGAUAUUGGGAGGAACACCAGUGGCGAAGGCGGCUCGCUGGACCGGUUCUGACGCUGAGGCGCGAAAGCGUGGGGAGCAAACGGG